rnacentral:lncRNA from 10 species
AAGAAUUCUAGAGCCAGACCUUGUUACUUCACAAUUGCCUCACGUUGCAGGACAAGCAAAUCUAGCCUGAGUCCUGUGGAUUCCAGGGCUGCUCAGGAGACGCCUCCAUCCUGGCGUGGAUGACCUCAGGAUCAGCCCCGUCUGCCCCACUCAGCCCGCAGCCUGGUCCCCGAAAGCGCUCAGUCAGAAUCCGAGAGCACUGUGGCGGCGCCCCCGUGUGGCCACAGGACUGAAGACAGAGGACCCCGCUCCCCUUUCUCCCCAGCCAGGACGUCCCAGGCUCUCCCCCUGUUCCCCGCACCUGGACGGGACUCUGCACAGAAGAGAGUCUCCCGGUCUCGUGUCAGGCUCUGAGUUCAUCCAGCUUCCCAAAAUCCAUGUUGAUAUGAACGUUUUCUCCCACAACUGAUUGACUGGACUUUUGUCUCAGGGCAGAGGGAGGCCUCCAGACCAAAACAGCAGGAUCAGGUCUGGAGCUGACUCAACCCCAAACCCUUGCUAAUGCACGACCCAGUCCCCCAGCCUCCAGGAUGGGACCUUGGCCUCCUGUCCCCUCCCUUGUUCCUGCCACUGCUCCUGCAGGUGGAGGCUGCUCAUCCCAGGAAUCAGUCUGUGAGCUCCAACCUUGGGGCCUCGGUCCAGGAAGGAGGGAGGCUCCAGAGAGCAGAAGGGAGAUGAAAUGGAUCAUAAGAGAAGAAGGAAUCAUACCAAACACUGGAACUACAUACAUUAGCAUAGGCUGACACAGGGUCAAGACCAACAAUAUCAACCAUCUUCAGCCUUCACAUCUUGUCCCACUGGAAGAUUUUCAGGUGUAAU